rnacentral:rRNA from 1 species
AUUGAACGCUGGCGGCAGGCCUAACACAUGCAAGUCGAGCGGAGCGGCGGACGGGUGAGUAAUGCCUAGGAAUCUGCCUGGGAGUGGGGGCUAACGUCCGGAAACGGGCGCUAAUACCGCAUACUAUCAGAUGAGCCUAGGUCGGAUUAGCUAGUUGGUGGGGUAAAGGCCUACCAAGGCGACGAUCCGUAACUGGUCUGAUAGGAUGACCAGCCAGAAGGGAAAUGAGACACGGUCCAGACGCCUACGGGAGGCAGCAGUGGGGAAUGUUGCACAAUGGGCGCAAGCCGGAUGCAGCCAGGCCGCGUGUAGGAAGAAGGCCUUCGGGUUGUAAAGUACUUUCAGCGGGGAGGCGUUACCCGCAGAAGAAGCACCGGCUAACUCCGUGCCAGCAGCCGCGGUAAUAC